GAGAAAGUCCCCCAAAUAAAUGAUAACGUCUUAGCACUCUUAUUGCUGAUAUAUUUUUACUCUUGAUUCUACAGUAAAUGUGUGUUUGUUGGAGCGGGGGAGAUAGGGGAGAGGAAAUUUUGCGACUGAGAAGGAGAAUUGUCAAUGUGGAAAGAUUGAGAAAUCCUGCUCUGGACCUUCUUCAAUAGAUCUGGAUCUAUAGAUUCACAGUGGAUUCCCAGCUCGGCCACAACGCCCUGUGUAGACUGGAACUUGAUCUCUUUGUGCCUCAGUUUCCAACUGGCAAGUAGUUCUGAGGGAAUGGACUUGUAUGGGACAGAGGGGAGAUCUGCAUCACCUAAAUUGAACACUAGCAGAGUCCUUCUUUAAAUAGAGCUCUGGGCAGAGUGAAGAGGUAUUAUCCAUAUCAGAUGGUUGGGCACCGUGAAGCUCAGCUGAGGGUCUUUGCUUGAUCUUUCAAAUGGAAGAGAACCAUUGAGCGAAAUCCCAGCUGUACUGAAGGCAAUGACAGUUUUGCCAUUGGCUUUAAUGGAAACACACCCAGAGUCUGCAAAAUAACGUUGUAUUCCAUCUAAAUUUUCACUGGAGACUGGCCAAAUUAUGACGAUCAGAGUUGGAAUCAGCCCUGUGCAAAUCGUAUUGAUGCCUGACAUCCCAGCAAGAAUUUCAUUCACUCUGGAUAUGGACUUUUCUGAUAACCAGUAGUAUUUGCACUGAGUUUCCAGUUUGGCCCACACUGCAAACUUCAAAGAUAUAAUAUGAAAGAGGCCAUAUUUAUCUUUUCCCGUUUUUUCUGAAAGGAUCGAUCAAUUCCACUCCUCCGCAUGUAUUGUUAACUAAACCGUGAGAGCAUACGGCAGCUUUAAUAGUAAAGCAAUUGUGAUUAUAUCUUGCUCAUAAUUACAUUUAUUUCCUCACAUAUCUCCAAAAAGCAACAACAUGGGAAAUAUUAACAGGAAGCACUUUUGAUGCUACAGGAAAUUAGACUUACGAUGAGACUUUUGUACUGUAUUAAUGAAAGAACGAGGCUUCGGUCCAAACCUCCUCAUCAGUGACGGCAACAAAGAGGAUGAAAAACAGAGGAAUUAUGCAGGAAACACAUUAACAUUAACAAUUAACAAUGCGAUGAAAAUCCCAUGUUGGUUCAGACAUUUUCUAUACAUUUUCUGUUUAUUUUUCUUUUCAGCCUGACAAGUGUUCAAAAGCAGGUGCACACGUUCUCAAUUACUGAAUGACGGUCUUUGUAAACUGUCGGAGAGCGUGUAAUUUGCCUGGGAGCGUCUUCUUUAAGUAAUGAGUGCAAAUCAAUCAAUAAAUCCAUGUUAGCAACACCCAAAAAUAUUGCGGUAGUUUGGCAAAUAUUGAACAUACAGUCUAUUGAUACAUGUUAUCUUUUGUAAGUGCCAUUGGUUUAAAUGCAAAAGAAUUAUCAAUUGACAUUUUUAAAAAUAGAUCAGUGGCACUUUGAUUAUGCAGCUUUUGAUUUAGAGCGCUUUAUGCAUUUAUUCAGAAGACUAUUGGCAAGGUACCUAUAGUUUUCCACUUAUUAAAAAAGCACUUCAGGCCAAUGCUCAAUAAACCAUUCACAUUGAAAAUGCAGAGGGAGCUUGAUCCUUUCCACUGACAGCCGCGUGGCCUGUUCCCAAAUCUAUAUGCACGCAAGCUGGGAUGCUUCAGCAGUUGUAGCAAUGUUUCCCUUUGCCCAUCGUACGGCAUAUCCAGAGCUGAAUGGGAGGUCUGUAAUGGUAGCAUUCCAGUGAAGGAAAGGGGAUGGAUGUCAUUUUGCUGCAUGUCAAAAAGAGCCAAGAAGCCACCUGCUGCAGGGGGCAAAGGAGGAAACUUGUUGGUCGCAGGUGAAAGAAUGGGCUAAGGGCGGGGUUGGCUCAAAGCAGGAUCGGGUGGGGUCAUGGUCUGUAAAGGAAGUGGAAUGACUGUGAUGCUAUUGAUGCAUUCAGUCUGGCACUUGGAGGAAGUUACCUAGUGAAAAGGGAUAAAAACCCAUGCUUUUUAUUUUCUUAAAGAACAGUGGUUAAGCAAUUAUAACAGCUCUUUAAAUAAAUGCAACUUCCACCAACAUUGGAGCAUGGACGUUUGGUGCUCAUUUAACUUUAUUUUUCACCCCAUUUUACAAUAAUAGAAAGCACACAACCGGCUUUACAAAUGCCCAGAAUCCUGCAGCCUGUCACGACCUGUCUGCAGUUAACUGGAGCCCGACUCACCCUGGCAAGAUGCCCGAAGUUGUCACCAUUCUGGAAGAAGCAGUUUUAAACUGAAACACCCACUACUUAGAAGUGUGCCUUUUUAAUCCCCCUCCCUAUUAGUAUUUUUUUAAGCAAAUAAAACGACGGUGAUCAGGAAAUCAUGUAUUUUCCAGCUUUUUGAUAGAGAUUGGUACGAUUCUUAUAGUCACAGCUCUGGGCUGGAUUUUCAAGAGUGCUUGGAGUCCCUUAGCUCAUACUGAGAACAAGAAAGAGGAGCAAAAUUUUGAGCAUGC